CUAAGAAUAUUCCGCAAUGGACGAAAGUCUGACGGAGCGACGCCGCGUGGAUGAAGAAGGCCGAAAGGUUGUAAAGUUCUUUUGUUGGGGAAGAAUAACCAUGGGAGGGAAUGCCCGUGGGAUGACAUGAACCGACGAAUAAGCCCCGGCUAACUACGUGCCAGCAGCCGCGGUAACACGUAGGGGGCGAGCGUUGUUCGGAAUUACUGGGCGUAAAGGGCAUGUAGGCGGUCUUGUAAGCUUGGCGUGAAAGACCACGGCUCAACCGUGGGAUUGCGUUGGGAACUGCGGGGCUUGAGUGACGGAGAGGGAGCUAGAAUUCCUGGUGUAGGGGUGGAAUCUGUAGAGAUCAGGAAGAAUACCAAUGGCGAAGGCAAGCUCCUGGCCGAUGACUGACGCUGAGGUGCGAAAGUGUGGGGAUCAAACGG
rnacentral:rRNA from 1 species